rnacentral:rRNA from 1 species
GAUGAACGCUGACAGAAUGCUUAACACAUGCAAGUCAUUGGCGAAGCUGCGCUUGCGCAGUCUAGCCAAGGCGGACGGGUGAGUAACGCGUAAGGAACUUGCCCUGCAGACAGGGAUAACAGACGGAAACGACUGAUAACACCUGGUAUUGUCAGGCUGGCGCAUGCCGGCCUGGUGAAAGGAGACGCUGCAGGAGAGCCUUGCGUCCUAUUAGCUAGUUGGUGGGGUAACGGCCCACCAAGGCGAUGAUAGGUAGCCGGCCUGAGAGGGUGAACGGCCACAAGGGGACUGAGAUACGGCCCUUACUCCUACGGGAGGCAGCAGUGGGGAAUAUUGGACAAUGGGGGCAACCCUGAUCUAGCAAUUCUGUGUGCACGAAGAAGGUUUUCGGAUUGUAAAGUGCUUUCAGCAGGGAAGAAGAAAGUGACGGUACCUGCAGAAGAAGCGACGGCUAAAUACGUG